UGCCCGGGGAGGAGUCUGGCCUCUUCAGCUCCUGUGUGGUGGCCUGAUAUUCAGUCUGUGAGCUGGGAGCCUGUUGGCAGGUCCCUCUUUUUAUUUUCGCUGAGAGCUUUCUUUUACUAAAUGCCACCAUCCUUACCUUUCAAGGUGUCUGCGUGCCUAAUUUUUCCUGGUUGUUAGACAAGAACCCGGAUUUUAGUUGAACUCUGGAGCAAAAAUCCUGCAUCAUUUGUAGGUGGGUGUCAUUGUGACUGGCUGCUACCUCCCCAUGAGUCUUCUAAAAUAAAACCUGCAAAUUCACAUCUUCCCCAUGCUUCCAGAGAAUGCAUAUUCUUCCUUUGAAAAAAGAAAACCAGGUAGUCGUACAGUGUCCAGAAGGCAAAAGGACAAGUAUGCACUGCCCUACUUACCUACUUUCCACACUGCUGCACAGGAAAAUCUGACAGAGGACAAUAACAAACAUCUCACCAGCUCAUGCGUUCUUUUUUGAUCCUAAUUCCGAGAGACUCACCAAAGACAUGAAGAGAAAACAAACAAUACUUUUCUUGGAAAUAUUGUAAUUGCUGGUACAUUUGUUGUUCUGGCAUAAAGUAGAAAUUGUCAGUUACCAGAACAAUACUCAGUGAACUUAUGAAUAUAUGGUAAAUAUUAAACACAUCCCACUUGGAUGAGAAGAUAUGUGAGUCGAUGAGUAUAGCUAAGUCUAAAGUUAGAUGUGUUCCAUAAACAUAGUGUUUAUGGAGUUGGUGCAUAUUCACUUCUCAGUAAGUUACACUUUCUUAAUUUCUUUUUGGUGCUAGGUGAUAUUCUGCUAAGUACACAUAAGUAUAGUAAUAUUGGUUAGUAAACUAGUAAAAUGCUCCCCUAGCUAUUAGUAAAUAGCUUCUGCCUUGUGUCUCCAAAAUAUCUCUACCAUUAUCCUGAUCUUGAUUGCUAUUUUAUAUUAAAAGAAGACAUGUGAAUGUAUAUGAACAUUUAAAAAAAUUGUUAUUUCUUAUUUACCUUUAAAAAUACAGUGUGCUGUACUAGUACUACUACUAAUAAAUAGCAUCAUUGACUCAUAGAUCACUUACUAUCAGCCAGGCAGUCCUAAGUAUUCCACUUACAUUAACUCACUUAAUGCAUGCAACAAUGCUAUGAGGCACUAUUUUUAUCAUUUGCAUAUUUACAUAUAAGGAAACAGAGACACUAAUAUUAAGUAGUAAGAGACAUAAAUGGGAGUCGAAGUUCCAUAGUCUAUUAAUAGUUUUGGAGUUCAGGAUAGUCUCUAUUACUCUAACCUACCUCAUUAAGCAGCAUCCUUGACUAUUCUAGGUAAAGAGUAUUGUAUUCUUUUCUAAGAUAAAAACAUGACUUGCUACUAUAUUUGUUUGGAUUCAGCUUUACUGGAACACAGCUUAGCUUUGACAUUUACAGACAUGGGUUAGGUUUCAUUUUGUUGCAAGAUAAAAGGCAAUCUGAUAUUUAGUUUACCUGCAAAAGGCAGUUAGGAAGCCCUAGAGGAACCUAAUUAAAAUGCAGCACAUUUCCAAGGCACCAUAUCUUGCUGUGUUGCCAUAGAAACAACGAGGAUUUCUGGUCACUGACCUUCCAGGGAAUCUGAGGAUGUAUUUUCAUAAGGUUCAUAAGAGAAGCCAUCCUAGUAUGUUAACCUAUAGUUGCAGAUCAACUAUACGUUAUGGAAAUUCCCUAUGCAAUUCUAGCCAAUUUUAAAACCAAAUUAUACUAGCAAAACUUACUAGAGGCUCAAACUAAGGGCUCUUUGAAGGAAUGUGGUUUAACUGCUUCCAAUAUAAGAUUUCAAAUAAUUAAGGAUACUGUAGUAGCAGCAAAAACAUUAAAGAAAAGCUUAGGUAAUUACACAAAGAACAUUGGAACUAAAAUCAUAUUUAGGAAUAGUUUCAAUGUUAUAUCUAUUCUAUUGCAUUUUGGGUUCUUCAAUUCUAGGCUUACUCAAAGGAUAAAACGAACAUUACUGCAUCAAUCAACUACACCUAGAAAAUCAAACUUUAUUAUACAAUAUUAAGUUGCUAAUAUUAUUUAUACCUAUAGAUUCUUAAUUCAUGCCCUUUACUAUCUAUUUAUAAAUUCAUUCAUUCCAUUACUAAAUAUGUAUAAUUGACAAUCCCAGUUAUACCUUAAUUUAUAUUUUUUUGUCUAUUUGACAUAAGCCAAGUACCCAUGCCAUGAUUCAACACAGAAAAUUACAAAGCCCACCUUACUGUAGACUGCUGCUCUUAUUGCAUCAACAUUCGUAUCUUCCACGGAAAAUAAUUAACUUAGUUCUAUAAUCAGGAUAUGCCCGGUUUAUUUACAAGGAAAUACCUAUCAGGUGCUAAUUUCUCUUAGAAUUAGAAAUCUUGGCCAGGCAUGGUGGCUCACACCUGUAAUCCCAGCACUUUGGGAGGCCGAGGUAGGUGGAUUA
rnacentral:lncRNA from 1 species